rnacentral:rRNA from 1 species
AGACUGAACGCUGGCGGCAUGCUUUACACAUGCAAGUCGAACGGUAACGCGGGGGCAACCCUGGCGACGAGUGGCGAACGGGUGAGUAAUACAUCGGAGCAUGUCCUGGAGUGGGGGAUAGCUCGGCGAAAGCCGGAUUAAUACCGCAUACGCUCUGAGGAGGAAAGCGGGGGAUCCGCAAGGACCUCGCGCUGCAGGAGUGGCCGAUGUCGGAUUAGCUAGUUGGUGAGGUAAAGCUCACCAAGGCGACGAUCCGUAGCUGGUCUGAGAGGAUGAUCAGCCACACUGGACUGAGACACGCCCAGACUCUACGGAGCAGCAGUGGAUUUGGACAGUGGGCACCUGAUCAGCCAUCGCCGCGUGAGUGAAGACGGUCCGUUACGGUUGUAACGCUCGUUCGGACGGUACGAAGUGGUAACGGUGACGUAC